GAUGAACGCUAGCGAUAGGCUUAACACAUGCAAGUCGAGGGGUAACGUGUUGGAAGCUUGCUUCCGAUGACGACGACCGGCGGAUGGGUGCGUAACGCGUAUGCAACUUGCCUCACAGUGGAGAAUAACCCGGAGAAAUCCGGACUAAUACUCCAUACACUCUUAAGUACGCCUGUACAUGAGAGGAAAGAUUUAUCGCUGUGAGAUAGGCAUGCGUCCUAUUAGGUAGUUGGUGAGGUAACGGCUCACCAAGCCGACGAUAGGUAGGGGUGCUGAGAGGCAGAUCCCCCACAUUGGGACUGAGACACGGCCCAAACUCCUACGGGGGGCAGCAGUGAGGAAUAUUGGUCAAUGGAGGAAACUCUGAACCAGCCAAGUCGCGUGAAGGAAGAAUGUCCUAAGGAUUGUAAACUUCUUUAGCGAGCGAGUAAGGACUUCCACGUGAUGGGAGUUUGAAAGUAGCUCGAGAAUAAGUAUCGGCUAACUCCGUG
rnacentral:rRNA from 1 species